GAUCCUUGUAUGAUCGUACGAUGUGAUCGGCCAGGCAAAUACGUGUAUUCUCAAGCAAUAACAUCGCAAAUGUGUGUUAAUUCCCUAAGAAUACGCGUCGCCAACCUGGCCUCAAUGGUCGAAGUUUCAUGAUGCCAUUGAACUUGCUAUAUAAUAUUUGAUUAUUCAUUAUUAUACUAAAUUCGCCGAUGUAUGAUAUUCUCGGUAAUGUCCAUGUUACGUUGGAGAUGCGAGCGUUGAUGCGUGACGUUGUUACGAGUCCGACUCCUAGUUACAACUGUGUAUUCUCAAGCAAUAACAUCGCAAAUGUGUGUUAAUUCCCCAAGAAUACGCGUCGCAAGCCUGGCCUCAUUUAUAUCGCGCGACAACUUUUCCAAAAUUCUCUCUUCGUAUACGAUGACUGAUUUGCAUUAAAAAUCUGAUCGAUUGAUCUUUCCAUUUUUUCAAGAUAAGUCUUCGGUAUUGCUCGAUUCAUCCGUGGUCGCUGCGGAUCAAUGUCGCUGCACUCUUUUUUAACGAAGGCCAAAUUAAGGUCACACAGCGUGGAUCGCGGUGUUGAUUAACGAUUUUGUGCAGUUCGAUUAUCGAUCGAAAUCAUGCAAUAAAUGGCUGAAAUCCAUCGAUGUCGGCAAUGGGGAGGAACGUCUACCAAUCGUUGUCUAUACUCCGAUCUCGAAUGCAUCCUGGAGAAUACCAAAGUUGAGGACAUCGCGUCUUCAACGUUCGACGCUUCGCGGGACCGAUUGAAUUUGAUAAUAUUGCGGAAAAUAAUUUUCAAAGGAAAUCGCGUAAACAAAAUACGUGGAGAAGCUAAAAUGCCUGCGGUCUCGCGCGGAUACGUCAAGAUAACAAGUGCGAAGGUUCAAAAUGAUUUAUAGUCAAUGAUGUUUUUUUUUUGUUUCCACAAGCGUUUAUUCUUUCUCGAUGGCCUAGACUUUCUCGCACGAUGCAUUUAUCGUCCUGGAAAGGAAAGACACGAUGACGCCUGUUACGCGCGAGCCGAAGGAAAAAAAAACGUCUGCCUUGUCCUUUCAAGCGGUGCCCGAGGGCGAUUAUUAUUCUUCUUCUUCUUUCGUCAUCUUCUUUAUUUGAAGCCACGUAGCGAGUCCUUUAUGAAUUUAUGCCCUUUUCAAUAUGAUCUUACGAGAGGCGAAGAGAAAAAAAAAAUUGACGCGAAGAGCAUCAAGUGAGUCGAGCGGUGAAAAAUCCUUGCGACUUUUCAACUUGGCACUCCAACAUUUUUUACUUUUCUUUUAUGUCCAUCCUCGUUUUACAUUUUUCGUGCUUUUGACAUAAUCGUCUUAGCGGUCUGGAAAUGCUUCCAUAUAUCGGUGUGAGCGGAUUCACUUUACGAUCUUUCUAUUUAUGCGAGAACGUACGCGCGACCCACGAAAUUAUAUAAUAUCAAUUGAGAAACCCUGAAAUACGAAAACAAUGGGAAAAUUCGACGCGACCUAUAAUGCAACUGAAUUUAUUUUUUUACGCACAGAAUAAGAGUAUUUUGUCGAGAAGCUAAUUCGAUUAUAAUAUCUUCAAACGAUGCAUCAGCAAUUCAAAGAUACGAUUAAAGAAUAUAUAGCAUUAAAUCACCGUCCGUUAGCCAUGCAAUUGUACGAGCAGCAAGAGUAAAUGGCGCAUUCUACUAAACUAUUUUUCAGCUCAUAUGGAGCGAAACUUGCCUAUUUGUUGGAAAAAAAAAAAAAAUUUUUUCAUUUUUCUAGAAACCUUGCCACGAGAAACCGUCAACGCACUACUUAUUCUAUUUAGGAUUAACGAUAAGCCGAUCGCGUCACUAGAUCUCGCGGUCAUAAUAAUAUUUAUUAGAAUAUGAUAGACUUUUAACGAGGUGAAUACAUUUGAAUAAUCGGAAAAAUCAAAUUUAUCGACUUUAUCGACGUAUUUUUAGGAAGGUUUGAUUUCCAUUAUAUGCGGUAGUCGCUCGAUUUUUCUAUGCUCCUUCUCGAAUGAGAAAAACUGAUGCAUAAAAGUAAUUUGCUACCAGCAUAUGCAAAUAAUACUUGGUUAAAGCCGCAAUGUGACGAGAGAGAACAGGAAAAAAAAAUGAUGAAAUCUUUGGAUGAAAAAUAGAGGAUGACGAUCGCUUUUUUAUAUAGGCGAUGCUCCUACAGAAUAGCUAUUAUUCCGGUAACUAAUAUUAGGAGGAACGAGUUGGUUAAAGCGGAAAGAAGUUGGUAGGUGUGUUCAGAAGGAGCGAGUGACUUCGAUGGAGGUGAUCUCGUUUACUCCAUUUUUAGUAAAAGGGACAUGUACACUGCUGUCAACCCUUAAGCAAUUUUAAAUGUAAAUUAAAGUAUUGGCCCAGUUGGGGCCGGGCCGCGAACCAGAGGGAUAGAAUAAAAAUAAAUGCAAAAAAGAAAUGUCGAGAGAGAAAGAGAAGCUGCGAGGUGCCUCUUGUACAUUUGCAUAUUAAGUGGCCACGACCCAAUAACAUCCUCGUACCUCCGAGAGGCCACCCUCCAACUUUUCAACCCUACUACGAGUUUCACGAGCACUUUCCAACCGAACCCACCAGCGACAACGAAUUCCAUCCUGACGUGUAUACACUGUGUCGGUUUUGUCAGUUUUGUCACAAAACCAAGAGGGCGGGAGGAGCAAAUUAAUUUUCAGACAAUUGAAAAAUACAAAUUUCAUACAUGGAGCGCGUCAA